ACUCCUACGGGAGGCAGCAGUGAGGAAGGUGGGUAUGUUAAUAGCAUAUUCAUUUGACGUUAGCUGCAGAAGAAGCACCGGCUAACUCCGUGCCAGCAGCCGCGGUAAUACGGAGGGUGCGAGCGUUAAUCGGAAUUACUGGGCGUAAAGCGCAUGCAGGUGGUUUGUUAAGUCAGAUGUGAAAGCCCGGGGGCUCAACCUCGGAAUUGCAUUUGAAACUGACAAACUAGAGUACUGUAGAGGGGGGUAGAAUUUUCAGGUGUAGCGGUGAAAUGCGUAGAGAUCUGAAGGAAUACCGGUGGCGAAGGCGGCCCCUGGACAGAUACUGACACUCAGAUGCGAAAGCGUGGGGAGCAAACAGGAUUAGAUACCCUGGUAGCGUCGUC
rnacentral:rRNA from 1 species